rnacentral:misc_RNA from 1 species
GAAAUGCGAUACGUAAUGUGAAUUGCAGAAUUCAGUGAAUCACCGAAAAGUGGCGGGUUACUUGAAAUGCAGGUGCAGCUGGACUUUUCUCUGAGCUAUAAGCAUAUCUAUUUAGUCUGCCUAAAAAACAGAUUAUUACCUUUGCUGCAGCUAACAUAAAGGAGAUUAGUUCUUGUGCUGACUGAUGCAGGAUUCACAAAGACGGCUUCGGCCGACUUUGUAAACUCGAUCUCAAAUCAAGUAAGACUACCCGCUGAACUUAA